GCCGGAGUAGCUCAGUUGGUAGAGCAGUCGCUUUGUAAGCGAUAGGUCGGGGGUUCAAGUCCUCUCUCCGGCUCAA
rnacentral:tRNA from 1 species